rnacentral:rRNA from 1 species
AGACGACGCUGGCGGCGUGCCUAAUACAUGCAAGUCGAGCGAACAGACGAGGUGCUUGCACCUCACUCUGUUAGCGGCGGAUGGGUGAGUAACACGUGGGCAACCUGCCCUACAGUUGGGGAUAACUCCGGAAACCGGGGCUAAUACCGAAUGAUUAAUUUAAUCUCAUGAUUGAAUUAUAAAAGAUGGUUUCGGCUAUCGCUGUAGGAUGGGCCCGCGGCGCAUUAGCUAGUUGGUGGGGUAACGGCCUACCAAGGCAACGAUGCGUAGCCGACCUGAGAGGGUGAUCGGCCACACUGGGACUGAGACACGGCCCAGACUCCUACGGGAGGCAGCAGUAGGGAAUCUUCCACAAUGGACGAAAGUCUGAUGGAGCAACGCCGCGUGAGUGAUGAAGGUUUUCGGAUCGUAAAACUCUGUUGCGAGGGAAGAACAAGUACGAGAGUAACUGCUCGUACCUUGACGGUACCUCGUUAGAAAGCCACGGCUAACUACGUG